rnacentral:tRNA from 1 species
UCUUGAAUCAGGCGCCUUAGACCGCUCGGCCAAACAACC